UGCAAAUGAUGUUUUUCUCACGAUGGUCUUCCAAGCUCAGGCUUUGACGAUAGUGCCUAAUGGCGUUGCUGAUGCAAAGUG
rnacentral:snoRNA from 1 species